CUCCUAAGGCUAAAUACUCUCUAGUGACCGAUAGUGAACCAGUACCGUGAGGGAAAGGUGAAAAGCACCCCGGAAGGGGAGUGAAAUAGAACCUGAAACCGUGUGCUUACAAGUAGUCAGAGCCCGUUAAUGGGUGAUGGCGUGCCUUUUGUAGAAUGAACCGGCGAGUUACGAUUUGAUGCAAGGUUAAGCAGUAAAUGUGGAGCCGUAGCGAAAGCGAGUCUGAAUAGGGCGUUUAGUAUUUGGUCGUAGACCCGAAACCAGGUGAUCUACCCUUGGUCAGGUUGAAGUUCAGGUAACACUGAAUGGAGGACCGAACCGACUUACGUUGAAAAGUGAGCGGAUGAACUGAGGGUAGCGGAGAAAUUCCAAUCGAACCUGGAGAUAGCUGGUUCUCUCCGAAAUAGCUUUAGGGCUAGCCUCAAGUGAUGAUUAUUGGAGGUAGAGCACUGUUUGGACGAGGGGCCCCUCUCGGGUUACCGAAUUCAGACAAACUCCGAAUGCCAAUUAAUUUAACUUGGGAGUCAGAACAUGGGUGAUAAGGUCCGUGUUCGAAAGGGAAACAGCCCAGACCACCAGCUAAGGUCCCAAAAUAUAUGUUAAGUGGAAAAGGAUGUGGCGUUGCCCAGACAACUAGGAUGUUGGCUUAGAAGCAGCCAUCAUUUAAAGAGUGCGUAAUAGCUCACUAGUCGAGUGACACUGCGCCGAAAAUGUACCGGGGCUAAACAUAUUACCGAAGCUGUGGAUUGUCCUUUGGACAAUGGUAGGAGAGCGUUCUAAGGGCGUUGAAGCAUGAUCGUAAGGACAUGUGGAGCGCUUAGAAGUGAGAAUGCCGGUGUGAGUAGCGAAAGACGGGUGAGAAUCCCGUCCACCGAUUGACUAAGGUUUCCAGAGGAAGGCUCGUCCGCUCUGGGUUAGUCGGGUCCUAAGCUGAGGCCGACAGGCGUAGGCGAUGGAUAACAGGUUGAUAUUCCUGUACCACCUAUAAUCGUUUUAAUCGAUGGGGGGACGCAGUAGGAUAGGCGAAGCGUGCGAU
rnacentral:rRNA from 1 species